UCGAGAAUUUUUCUCAAUGGGGGAAACCCUGAAGGAGCGACGCCGCGUGAAGGAUGAAGUAUUUCGGUAUGUAAACUUCGAAAGAAUAGGAAGAAUAAAUGACGGUACUAUUUAUAAGGUCCGGCUAACUACGUGCCAGCAGCCGCGGUAAUACGUAGGGACCAAGCGUUGUUCGGAUUUACUGGGCGUAAAGGGCGCGUAGGCGGCAUGACAAGUCACUUGUGAAAUCUCUGGGCUUAACCCAGAACGGCCAAGUGAUACUGUCGCGCUAGAGUGCAGAAGGGGCAAUCGGAAUUCUUGGUGUAGCGGUGAAAUGCGUAGAUAUCAAGAGGAACACCUGAGGUGAAGACGGCCACCUGGUUGGAUACUGACGCUGAGACGCGAAAGCGUGGGGAGCAAACAGGAUUAGAUACCCAAGUAGUCCCUGAGCGGGCUGGCAAGGCGCAU
rnacentral:rRNA from 1 species